rnacentral:rRNA from 1 species
UACGAAGGGGGCUAGCGUUGCUCGGAAUUACUGGGCGUAAAGCGCACGUAGGCGGCUUUCUAAGUCGGGGGCGAAAUCCUGGAGCUCAACUCCAGAACUGCCUUCGAUACUGGAAAGCUCGAGUCCGGGAGAGGUGAGUGGAACUGCGAGUGUAGAGGUGAAAUUCGUAGAUAUUCGCAAGAACACCAGUGGCGAAGGCGGCUCACUGGCCCGGUACUGACGCUGAGGUGCGAAAGCGUGGGGAGCAAACAGG